AGGACGAGGUCCGGGGGCAAUGCCGCAGGCAAGCAACAGAGCAUGGACAAG
rnacentral:SRP_RNA from 14 species